GGGACACGUGGUAUCCUGUCUGAAUAUGGGGGGACCAUCCUCCAAGGCUAAAUACUCCUGACUGACCGAUAGUGAACCAGUACCGUGAGGGAAAGGCGAAAAGAACCCCGGCGAGGGGAGUGAAAAAGAACCUGAAACCGUGUACGUACAAGCAGUGGGAGCCUCUUAAUGGGGUGACUGCGUACCUUUUGUAUAAUGGGUCAGCGACUUAUAUUCUGUAGCAAGGUUAACCGAAUAGGGGAGCCGAAGGGAAACCGAGUCUUAACUGGGCGUUAAGUUGCAGGGUAUAGACCCGAAACCCGGUGAUCUAGCCAUGGGCAGGUUGAAGGUUGGGUAACACUAACUGGAGGACCGAACCGACUAAUGUUGAAAAAUUAGCGGAUGACUUGUGGCUGGGGGUGAAAGGCCAAUCAAACCGGGAGAUAGCUGGUUCUCCCCGAAAGCUAUUUAGGUAGCGCCUCGUGAAUUCAUCUCCGGGGGUAGAGCACUGUUUCGGCAAGGGGGUCAUCCCGACUUACCAACCCGAUGCAAACUGCGAAUACCGGAGAAUGUUAUCACGGGAGACACACGGCGGGUGCUAACGUCCGUCGUGAAGAGGGAAACAACCCAGACCGCCAGCUAAGGUCCCAAAGUCAUGGUUAAGUGGGAAACGAUGUGGGAAGGCCCAGACAGCCA
rnacentral:rRNA from 1 species